AAGUCGUAACAAGGUUUCCAUGGGUGAACCUGCGGAAGGAUCAUUAACACGUAUCCAACGUUAAACCCCCCUGUGAACUGUAUAUGGUGCUCUUGGAUCCCCCCAACUCAGCAAUCUCUGGUAAAUCAUUGUUGCCUUCGACUGGGUGACUGCGGAAGCUAACGGUCCAAUCGAGCGCUGGGAUCCCCUCAAACCACUCAAUGAAUGACAGCGUCGUUGACUAGAGGCCCCCCACGGGCCGGCGCAAAUCACCGAAGCUCCCCUAAAACCACAUGUCAGCGUAGGCCCUCUCGUGGUUGGGCGUAAAAACGAACAACUGUUAACAAUGGAUAUCUUGGUUCUC
rnacentral:misc_RNA from 1 species